rnacentral:rRNA from 1 species
UCAAGUAAUUAAGUGCAUGUGGUGGAUGCCUUGGCAGUCAGAGGCGAUGAAAGACGUGAUAGCCUGCGAAAAGCUCCGGGGAGGCGGCAAAUAUCCUUUGAUCCGGAGAUGUCUGAAUGGGGGAACCCACCUACUUUAAGGUAGGUAUUGCAACAUGAAUACAUAGUGUUGCAAGGCGAACGAGGGGAAGUGAAACAUCUCAGUACCCUUAGGAAAAGAAAUCAAUUGAGAUUCCCUCAGUAGCGGCGAGCGAACGGGGAUCAGCCCAUUAAGUUAUGUGUGUUUUAGUGGAACGCUCUGGGAAGUGCGAACGUAGAGGGUGAUAUUCCCGUACACGAAAGGGCACACAUAAUGAUGACGAGUAGGGCGAGGCACGUGAAACCUUGUCUGAAUAUGGGGGGACCAUCCUCCAAGGCUAAAUACUCCUGACUGACCGAUAGUGAACCAGUACCGUGAGGGAAAGGCGAAAAGAACCCCUGUGAGGGGAGUGAAAUAGAUCCUGAAACCGCAUGCAUACAAGCAGUGGGAGCACCUUCGUGGUGUGACUGCGUACCUUUUGUAUAAUGGGUCAGCGACUUAUAUUCAGUAGCAAGGUUAACCGUAUAGGGGAGCCGUAGAGAAAUCGAGUCUUAAUAGGGCGUUUAGUUGCUGGGUAUAGACCCGAAACCAGGCGAUCUAUCCAUGAGCAGGUUGAAGGUUGGGUAACACUAACUGGAGGACCGAACCCACUGUCGUUGAAAAGCCAGGGGAUGACUUGUGGAUAGGGGUGAAAGGCUAAUCAAGCCUGGUGAUAGCUGGUUCUCCCCGAAAGCUAUUUAGGUAGCGCCUCGGACGAAUACCAUAGGGGGUAGAGCACUGUUUCGGCUAGGGGGUCAUCCCGACUUACCAAACCGAUGCAAACUCCGAAUACCUAUGAGUACUAUCCGGGAGACAGACUGCGGGUGCUAACGUCCGUAGUCAAGAGGAAAACAAUCCAGACCGCCAGCUAAGGCCCCAAAAUCAUAGUUAAGUGGGAAACGAUGUGGGAAGGCAUAGACAGCUAGGAGGUUGGCUUAGAAGCAGCCACCCUUUAAAGAAAGCGUAAUAGCUCACUAGUCGAGUCGGCCUGCGCGGAAGAUGUAACGGGGCUAAAACUAUGUGCCGAAGCUGCGGAUGUAUACUUUGUAUACGUGGUAGGGGAGCGUUCUGUAAGCCGAUGAAGGUGUGUUGAGAAGCAUGCUGGAGGUAUCAGAAGUGCGAAUGCUGACGUGAGUAACGACAAAACGGGUGAAAAACCCGUUCGCCGUUGACAUUAGUCAAGUGGUAGGGGAGCGUUCUGUAAGCCGAUGAAGGUGUAUUGAGAAGUAUGCUGGAGGUAUCAGAAGUGCGAAUGCUGACGUGAGUAACGACAAAACGGGUGAAAAACCCGUUCGCCGAAAGACCAAGGGUUCCAGUCCAACGUUAAUCGGGGCUGGGUGAGUCGACCCCUAAGGCGAGGCCGAAAGGCGUAGUCGAUGGGAAAAUGGUUAAUAUUCCAUUACUUCUGUGUAAUGCGAUGAGAGGACGGAGAAGGCUAAAUCAGCCUGGCGUUGGUUGUCCAGGUGAAAGGAUGUAGGCAUGUAUCUUAGGCAAAUCCGGGGUACUCUAUGCUGAGAUCUGAUAGCAAGCUGUACUUGUACAGCGAAGUGGUUGAUGCCAUGCUUCCAGGAAAAGUCUCUAAGCUUCAGUUACACAGGAAUCGUACCCGAAACCGACACAGGUGGUCAGGUCGAGUAGACCAAGGCGCUUGAGAGAACUCUGCUGAAGGAACUAGGCAAAAUGGUACCGUAACUUCGGGAGAAGGUACGCUGUUGUUGGUGAUGGAACUCGCUUCCUGAGCUGACGACAGCCGCAGAAACCAGGCCGCUGCAACUGUUUAUUAAAAACAUAGCACUCUGCAAACACGAAAGUGGACGUAUAGGGUGUGAUGCCUGCCCGGUGCUGGAAGGUUAAUUGAUGGGGUUAGCGUAAGCGAAGCUCUUGAUCGAAGCCCCAGUAAACGGCGGCCGUAACUAUAACGGUCCUAAGGUAGCGAAAUUCCUUGUCGGGUAAGUUCCGACCUGCACGAAUGGCAUAAUGAUGGCGGCGCUGUCUCCAGCAGAGGCUCAGUGAAAUCGAAAUCGCUGUGAAGAUGCAGUGUACCCGCGGCUAGACGGAAAGACCCCGUGAACCUUUACUGCAGCUUGACACUGAACUUUGACCUUACUUGUGUAGGAUAGGUGGGAGGCUUUGAAGCUGGAACGCUAGUUCCAGUGGAGCCGUCCUUGAAAUACCACCCUGGUAAUGUUGAGGUUCUAACUCUGUCCCGUGAUCCGGGACGAGGACCGUGUCUGGUGGGUAGUUUGACUGGGGCGGUCUCCUCCUAAAGAGUAACGGAGGAGUACGAAGGUGCGCUCAGCGUGGUCGGAAAUCACGCGUAGAGUAUAAAGGCAAAAGCGCGCUUAACUGCGAGACCCACAAGUCGAGCAGGUACGAAAGUAGGUCUUAGUGAUCCGGUGGUUCUGUAUGGAAGGGCCAUCGCUCAACGGAUAAAAGGUACUCUGGGGAUAACAGGCUGAUACCGCCCAAGAGUUCAUAUCGACGGCGGUGUUUGGCACCUCGAUGUCGGCUCAUCUCAUCCUGGGGCUGAAGCAGGUCCCAAGGGUAUGGCUGUUCGCCAUUUAAAGAGGUACGCGAGCUGGGUUUAGAACGUCGUGAGACAGUUCGGUCCCUAUCUACCGUGGGCGCUGGAAAUUUGAGAGGAUCUGCUCCUAGUACGAGAGGACCAGAGUGGACGAACCUCUGGUGUACCGGUUGUGACGCCAGUCGCAUCGCCGGGUAGCUAUGUUCGGAAGGGAUAACCGCUGAAAGCAUCUAAGCGGGAAGCCUACCUCAAGAUAAGAUUUCCCUAGGACUUUAUGUCCUCUAAAGAGCCGUUCGAGACUAGGACGUUGAUAGGUUGGAUGUGGAAGCAUAGUGAUAUGUGAAGCUGACCAAUACUAAUUGCUCGUGAGGCUUGACUAU